GCCCGCAGGAGGGAGCCACACGGGGUCCAGGCCCAGGCCCUGCGCUGGCUGCUGCAGCCUGUGGGCCGUCUGUCCUCCCGACAGACAGAGAGGCGGGUUCGCCUGGGCCCGAGUUGCGGGUCGUCCGAGCCGCUGCUUUGAGCCCACGAGGCAGUUUCUCCCAGCGGGAGCCUGCGUCUUGCCUGCCCCUGGCCCAGUUCCCAAGCUCCAGUGGUUUCUCCCGGCUCUGCCUUCCCACUCUUUCAACCCCCGUUGCUUCUGCUUCCUUGCAUUCGACUGUGUCGCCGCCAUAAAAUAGACCAGGGCGGCCGGAUCCCCGCGGCUCAGAACAUGAGAUUUCCUCCCCGGCGGUGGGAGGCCUGACGUCUGCUUAGGAACGGAGCACAGGGCGUCAGCGCACCUGCAGCCUCGAGACUGGGGACAGGAUGACCCCCCCAGACCCCAAGGUGCCUUCGCUCACAGCUGGACCUCCCCCACUGUUCCUGGAAGCUCGCCCAGAGCAUCUUUGGGCCACGGGAACCUGACCGGCCAGUGAAGCCCCCCCAAGGUUCCAAGCUUGAACUCGCGACACGGCCCUCCGGACUCUCGCGGCCGGCCCGGCUGCCCAGCGCAGGAUGUGGUGAGUGCGGCGGGAGACGAGGUCCGGCUCGCCCUGGGAAGCCUCUCCCGGGGUCAGGCUACGAAGACAGUCGCUUCCACCUGGCUGACCCCUCCCCGCCCUCCAGCGCCCUCCCCUGCGACAGAGCCUUGCUGGUUUCUUGUCUGGUUCCUCUUUCUCCUUCUGUGUAAGAAAGGACCCAAGGUUUUCCUUGAGGAGCCCUCCUAGCCACUGCUAGCCUUGUGUUUAGGGGGACCUGCCCCCGAGGGAGGGCUGGAGAGUAGAGCCAAUGCCCCGUGCCCCGUGAUCGGGGCAGGUGUGGACGCGUGACCUGCGUGGACAGUUAGAGAGGCUCCCGGCUGCCCCUGGAGGGGGUCUGGGAAGCCGCGUGCUGAGCCGACGGGGGUCACAUUGCCGCCACGUGGAGCCCGAGGAAGCAGCAGGUGAGCCGCCGAGCAGAGAGGGCGUGGAGGCACCAUUGGAUCCCUGGAUCCAGCUGUACCUGCAUCCGGCCACCAGACCAACGGCACCUGGAUCUUUUUUAUGUUUAAAAAAGUAGACUUUAAUUUUUAGAUCAUUUUCGGCUCACCGCAAGAUUGGGGGGCAGGUACAGAGAGUUCCCGUGGGUCCCUGUCCCAGCAAGCACAGUCCCCUGCUUUCAACAUCCCCACCAGAGUGCACUUGACACAUCGCUGUCCCCAAAGCCCACAGUUUAUGUUCCAUGUCAUCUUGCUGUCGUGCACCAUUGCGGCUUUGGACAGAUGUGCAAUGACGUGUGUCCGUUCUCAAGAGUCACACGGACUAGCUUCACUGCCCUGAACCCUCUGUGCUGACAGUCCCUCCCGUCCCCCCGGCCCCUGGCCCCCACUUGUCUUUUACCGUCUCCACGGUUUUGCCUUUUCCAGAAUGUCACAGACUUGGAAUCAUACCGUGCGUAGCCUUUUCAGACUGGUUUCUUUUACCUCGUAAUAUACAUUUAGGGUCCCUCCAGGUCUUUUCACGGCUCGACAGCCCGUUCCUACUUAGUGCCGACCCACAUCCCGUUGUCUGGAUGGACCACAGGUUGUCCGUUCACCUGCUGACAGACACCUCGGCUGUUCCAGGGUUUGGGGGCUCUGAAUGAAGCCGCUGUGAACACCCGUGUGCAGGUUGUCGUGUGGACAUCAUUUUCUUUUCUUUUUCUU